rnacentral:rRNA from 1 species
CCUACGGGGGGCUGCAGUGGGGAAUAUUGGACAAUGGGCGAAAGCCUGAUCCAGCCAUGCCGCGUGUGUGAAGAAGGCCUUCGGGUUGUAAAGCACUUUCAGUGGGGAAGAAAGCCUUGGGGCUAAUACCCUCGAGGAAGGACAUCACCCACAGAAGAAGCACCGGCUAACUCCGUGUCAGCAGCCGCGGUAAUACGGAGGGUGCGAGCGUUAAUCGGAAUUACUGGGCGUAAAGCGCGCGUAGGCGGUCUGAUAAGCCGGUUGUGAAAGCCCCGGGCUCAACCUGGGAACGGCAUCCGGAACUGUCAGGCUAGAGUGCAGGAGAGGAAGGUAGAAUUCCCGGUGUAGCGGUGAAAUGCGUAGAGAUCGGGAGGAAUACCAGUGGCGAAGGCGGCCUUCUGGACUGACACUGACGCUGAGGUGCGAAAGCGUGGGUAGCAAACAGGAUUAGAUACCCUAGUAGUC